rnacentral:rRNA from 1 species
GUGGGGAAUAUUGGACAAUGGGCGAAAGCCUGAUCCAGCCAUGCCGCGUGUGUGAAGAAGGUCUUCGGAUUGUAAAGCACUUUAAGUUGGGAGGAAGGGCAGUAAGUUAAUACCUUGCUGUUUUGACGUUACCGACAGAAUAAGCACCGGCUAACUUCGUGCCAGCAGCCGCGGUAAUACGAAGGGUGCAAGCGUUAAUCGGAAUUACUGGGCGUAAAGCGCGCGUAGGUGGUUUUGUAAGUUGGAGGUGAAAUCCCCGGGCUCAACCUGGGAACUGCCUCCAAAACUGCAUGACUAGAGUACGGUAGAUGGUAGUGGAAUUUCCUGUGUAGCGGUGAAAUGCGUAGAUAUAGGAAGGAACACCAGUGGCGAAGGCGACUACCUGGACUGAUACUGACACUGAGGUGCGAAAGCGUGGGGAGCAAACAGGAUUAGAUACCCCAGUAGUCC